rnacentral:rRNA from 1 species
GCCUGCCCAGUGACCAUGAGUUCAACGGCCGCGGUAUUCUGACCGCGCGAAGGUAGCGUAAUCACUUGUUUUUUAAAUAAAGACUAGUAUGAACGGCCACACGAGGACUUAACUGUCUCCUUUGUCCAAUCAGUGAAACUGAUCUCCUCGUGCAGAAGCGAGGAUAUCCCCAUAAGACGAGAAGACCCUAUGGAGCUUUAAACUUUAUAUCAAUUAUCUUCUUUACCCCUCUAAGGAACUAACACCCAAUUUGAUUCCCUUGAUAAAAGUUUUGGGUUGGGGCGACCAUGGAGAAAAAGAAAUCCUCCCUGAUGACAACCUAACCAAGAGCCACAGCUCUAAGUAUUAAGACACUUAACUCCUAUUGACCCAUUUUAUGAUCAACGAACCAAGUUACCCUAGGGAUAACAGCGCAAUCCAUUUCAAGAGUUCCUAUCGACAAAUGGGUUUACGACCUCGAUGUUGGAUCAGGGCAUCCAAGUGGUGCAACCGCUACUAAAGGUUCGUUUGUUCAACGAUUAAAGCCCU